rnacentral:tRNA from 1 species
CCGCCCGUAGCUUAGUGGAUAGAGCGUUGCCCUCCGGAGGCAAAGGUCAGGGGUUCGAAUCCCUUCGGGCGGG